AUUGAACGCUGGCGGCAUGCUUUACACAUGCAAGUCGAACGGUAACAGGGUGCUUGCACCGCUGACGAGUGGCGAACGGGUGAGUAAUGCAUCGGAAUGUACCGUGUAAUGGGGGAUAGCUCGGCGAAAGCCGGAUUAAUACCGCAUACGCCCUGAGGGGGAAAGUGGGGGACCGAAAGGCCUCACGUUAUACGAUCAGCCGAUGUCUGAUUAGCUAGUUGGUUAGGUAAAGGCUCACCAAGGCGUCGAUCAGUAGCGGGUCUGAGAGGAUGAUCCGCCACACUGGGACUGAGACACGGCCCAGACUCCUACGGGAGGCAGCAGUGGGGAAUUUUGGACAAUGGGCGCAAGCCUGAUCCAGCCAUGCCGCGUGUCUGAAGAAGGCCUUCGGGUUGUAAAGGACUUUUGUCCGGGAGCAAAUCCUAGUGGUUAAUACCUACUGGGGCUGAGAGUACCGGAAGAAUAAGCACCGGCUAACUACGUG
rnacentral:rRNA from 1 species